rnacentral:ncRNA from 1 species
GUCGGGAGGGCGGCUAAUAAAACACCCGCAAGGGGAAUACGCCCGCCGUUUGUUCGCGGUUUCUGGCCUCCCGACAUCCCGCC